rnacentral:rRNA from 1 species
AGAGUUUGAUCAUGGCUCAGAAUCAACGCUGGCGGCGUGCCUAACACAUGCAAGUCGAACGAGAAAGGGGAGCAAUCCCUGAGUAAAGUGGCGCACGGGUGAGUAACACGUGACUAACCUACCCUGGAGUGGGGGAUAACUGAGGGAAACCUUAGCUAAUACCGCAUAAUACCCACGGGUCAAAGGAGCAAUUCGCUUCAGGAGGGGGUCGCGGCCGAUUAGUUAGUUGGCGGGGUAAUGGCCCACCAAGACGAUGAUCGGUAUCCGGCCUGAGAGGGCGCACGGACACACUGGAACUGAAACACGGUCCAGACUCCUACGGGAGGCAGCAGUGGGGAAUUUUGCGCAAUGGGGGAAACCCUGACGCAGCAACGCCGCGUGGAGGAUGAAGUACUUCGGUACGUAAACUCCUUUCGAUCGGGACGAUAAUGACGGUACCGAGAGAAGAAGCCCCGGCUAACUUCGUGCCAGCAGCCGCGGUAAUACGAGGGGGGCGAGCGUUGUUCGGAAUUAUUGGGCGUAAAGGGUGCGUAGGCGGUUUGGUAAGUCUGAUGUGAAAUCUAUGGGCUCAACUCAUAGUCUGCAUCGGAAACUGCCGGGCUUGAGUGUGGGAGAGGUGAGUGGAAUUUCCGGUGUAGCGGUGAAAUGCGUAGAUAUCGGAAGGAACACCUGUGGCGAAAGCGGCUCACUGGACCACAACUGACGCUGAUGCACGAAAGCUAGGGGAGCAAACAGGAUUAGAUACCCUAGUAGUCC